GCAAUCGACAAGCAGCCCCACCAAACCAGGAAACUGCAAACCUACCCCCGGUCGCCGACUCGCCGACCUCGACUCUCCGCCCAGACUACAAAUGGAGCUCUGCACCUGCGCGGCCCGCAGUUCUGCGCCCCCCUCUUCUAGCUGCCGCGCGGCGCCAUUCCCGCGAGUUCUCUCCCAUCGCAUUUGGAGCCGAUCGGGAUACUGCACUGUCUGCUUUACCCCGUCAAGCCCUGUUGCUAGGAGUCGAUUCUCUACUCUAAUGACGACUGCACACAAGUAUGAUGCGACAAGUCUGUAUAACUGACCCUCUGUUUUGCUUUGGGAAUUGGGACGAUGCACCGCCGCUAAGAUUAACUAGCAAAAAGGCACAGGGACCCCAGAUCUAGUUGACUUCAAUUGGGAUGAUCUUGGGUUUCAACUGAUCCCAACGGACUUCAUGUAUUUAAUGAGCUGUUCUUCAGAUGGGGUGUUUAUGAAUGGUAAAUUAGUGCCAUAUGGGUCAAUUGAGCUGAAUCCAGCAGCCGCCGUGCUGAAUUAUGGUCAGGGAUUGCUUGAAGGUCUACGAUCACAUAGAAAAGAGGAUGGAUCAAUCCUUCUUUUUCGUCCACAUGAAAAUGCACGGCGGAUGGAAAUUGGUGCAGACCGGUUAUGCAUGCCUGCACCAAGUGUAGAGCAAUUCCUAGAAGCUGUGAAACUAACUGUUCUGGCAAACAAGCAUUGGGUGAGGGCGUUGCACACCUCUUGUUGAAUAUGUGAUGCAUCUCUCAUGUCUCACCCACCAUGUUCUGCAUUACAGGUGCCUCCUUUUGGUAAAGGUUCUUUGUAUAUCAGACCGCAGCUAAUUGGAAGUGGGGCUAUGCUUGGUGUGGCACCUGCCCCACAGUACACAUUCAUUGUGUUUGUUUGCCCAGUUGGGCAUUAUUUCAAGGGUGGUCUAGCUCCAAUCAGCUUGUUAACUGAGGAAGAAUACCACCGUGCUGCACCUGGUGGAACUGGUGAUAUAAAAACUAUUGGGAACUAUGCUUCGGUAAUGCGCAAAUGUGAAUUUUCAAAGUUGUCAGUGCUCAGAGAAGAUCCAAGGAAAAAGGCCAUUCUGAUGUUUUAUACUUAGAUCCACUCCAUAAUAAGUUUGUUGAGGAAGUUUCUUCUUGUAAUAUAUUCAUGGUGAAGGACAAUAUUAUUUCUACUCCACUGUUAACGGGGACAAUUCUUCCUGGAAUCACAAGGAGAAGUGUGAUUGAAAUUUCUCAGAAUCUUGGAUUUCAGGUUGAGGAGCGUCUUAUCACAAUAGAUGAACUGCUUGGGGCUGAUGAAGUCUUUUGUACAGGAACAGCUGUUGUAUUGUCACCUGUUGGGAGCAUCACUUACCGUGGAAGAAGAGUGGAGUAUGGGAAGAACCAGGAGGCCGGAGUCGUGUCCCAACAACUCUAUGCCGCACUCACAGCUAUCCAGAAAGGUCUCACGGAGGACAGCAUGGGAUGGACGUUGCAGCUAACUUAGCAGCUUUUUUCACAUGAUCGAGCUCUACAACUCUUAUUUCCGUUUUCUCGAUAAGUCUCACUUCUAUCAACUUGUUCUUCUGUUGAAACAGAGUACUUUAAAAGGGAUCCCCAAUAAUGACUUUCCCUGUGUAUUGCUGAUAUGUUGGCACUAGAUAUUUUUGGAAACUCUAUUUAAAGCACAGUGUUUUGCACC